rfam:Ixodes scapularis strain Wikel colony gcontig_1107728774738, whole genome shotgun sequence.
UCCUGGUUAGCUCAGUUGGUAGAGCGCUCCACUGGAAAUGGAGGUGUCCCUCGUUCGAUGCCGGACCAGGCG